rnacentral:rRNA from 1 species
UAUUGCACAAUGGGGGAAACCCUGAUGCAGCAACGCCGCGUGAGUGAUGACGGCCUUCGGGUUGUAAAGCUCUGUCUUCAGGGACGAUAAUGACGGUACCUGAGGAGGAAGCCACGGCUAACUACGUGCCAGCAGCCGCGGUAAUACGUAGGUGGCGAGCGUUGUCCGGAUUUACUGGGCGUAAAGGGAGCGUAGGCGGACUUUUAAGUGAGAUGUGAAAUACUCGGGCUCAACUUGAGUGCUGCAUUUCAAACUGGAUGUCUAGAGUGCAGGAGAGGAGAAUGGAAUACCUAGUGUAGCGGUGAAAUGCGUAGAGAUUAGGAAGAACACCAGUGGCGAAGGCGAUUCUCUGGACUGAAACUGACGCUGAGGCUCGAAAGCGUGGGGAGCAAACAGGA